GUAGGUGAACCUGCGGAAGGAUCAUUAACACUGAAUCUAACAAAUCCCCUUAAAAGGAUUUAUUCUACCCACUUUUUUGGACGAAUUUAAAAAAAAAGAAAAGAUCGAGGAAAAAAAAGUAUGUUCGCAUAUUUUUUCUUCUUUUUCUUUUUUUCUUUCUUUUUCCUAUUUUUUUUAACCCCAACCCUUUUAAUGCUAUACAAUAGACUGACAUGACAAAGAGUUUUCAUUGAACUUUUUGUUUUACAAAAAAUUCUAAAAACAACUCUUAACAACGGAUAUCUUGGCUCUC
rnacentral:misc_RNA from 1 species